GGAUCUAUCAGGAAUAGAAGCGCCGGUUUCUGCUUAUUAUUCGCUGUUUCUGAUGGCCAAGAGCAAGGGGCAGUCAAGGCCAUUAAUGCAGAACUGGAAUUCAGCGAGGAGCGCCUCUUCUGCAGACUGCCCCCCGCUAGGGCGCGGGGAGGGCACCGGUUCCUCUGCGCGGAAAGGAGGGGGAGAAAGUCGCUAAGAGAAAAAUCCGGUGUGGCCCAGAUCUCCGGGUGCACAUUCCCGGGAGAGGAGCGCGCCGUUUCCAGCGCGGUGCAGCGCUCCGAGCGGCGGCCACCAGCGACCCAGCGCGCGAGCACAACGCGACCCACGAAGGGGGCUCGCGGGAGGCACCAAGAAGCACCGGCGCAUCAGAGCGGAGAACCCGCAGCCGAACCUUGCCGGGGCGCACCCAGCACCGGGGCGGGGGCCAGGACUUCGCUUCCACCGCAUGGGAUGAGCUGUGCAAGGUGGAGGAAGGCGGCGCAGAGCCGGGGGACGAAGCCCGGACCGGACAGGAAUCCCGGGGAGAAAGAAGGGGGCCCCAGCCUGGCCAGGAGGGGCAUUUUUGUCAGAGGGGGUAUUGGGGGAGUCCCUGAGCGCCGCGGGUUCCAGGGGGGCAGCGCGGACGCCCAUUCCCUGUUCUCCCCCGAGAGAAGCCGUUCCCGUGGGGCAGGAAGGGCUCUCAGCUCUUUGAGAUUGAGAUUCACAGGAAUCUAA
rnacentral:lncRNA from 12 species